UACAGAGGUCUCAAGCGUUGUUCGGAAUUACUGGGCGUAAAGGGUGCGCAGGCCGCGCGGGCAGUCAAAUGUGUAAUUCAGGGGCUCAACCCCUGCACUGCGCUUGAUACUUCCGCGCUCGAGCUUUGGAGAGGAGUCUGGAAUUCUCGGUGUAGCAGUGAAAUGCGUGGAUAUCGGGAAGAACACUUAGGGCGUAGGCAAGACUCUGGACAAAUGCUGACGCUCAUGCACGAAGGCUAGGGUAGCGAACGGG
rnacentral:rRNA from 1 species